rnacentral:rRNA from 1 species
GCCAGUGAUAAAAUUCAACGGCCGCGGUACCCUAACCGUGCGAAGGUAGCAUAAUCACUUGUCCCCUAAAUAGGGACUAGAAUCAACGGCACCACGAAGGCUGCACUGUCUCUUUUCUCCAAUCAGUGAAACUGAUCUCCCCGUGAAAAAGCGGGAAUCAACUUAUAAGACGAGAAGACCCCAUGGAGCUUUAAGUAAAGUAUUCACCCAGACUCUACUAUACCAACUAAAUAUAGCAGCCUUGAUUACUAACCUUAGGUUGGGAGGACCGCGGAGCAAAACUAAACCUCCACAACAAAAAGGUAAUACCUUUAUCUACGAGUUACGACUCUAAGAAUAAAAACAUUUAAUGUCCAAUGACCCGACAAUUCGAUCAAACGAACCAGGUAACCCUGGGGAUAAACAGCACAAAUCUGCUUUAAGAGCCCAUAUCGGACAGGCAGGUUUAUGACCCUCGAUGUGGGAUCAGGGUGUCCCAGUGGUGCAGCCCGCUACUAUAGGGUUUGUUUGUUCAACAAUUAAAACCCUACGUGAUC